UGGGGGAUAUUGCACAAUGGGGGAAACCCUGAUGCAGCAACGCCGCGUGAAGGAAGAAGGUCUUCGGAUUGUAAACUUCUUUGAUGAGGGAAGAAUAAUGACGGUACCUCAAAAACAAGCCACGGCUAACUACGUGCCAGCAGCCGCGGUAAUACGUAGGUGGCAAGCGUUGUCCGGAUUUACUGGGUGUAAAGGGUGCGUAGGCGGACUUGCAAGUCAGAUGUGAAAUACCGGGGCUUAACCCCGGGGCUGCAUUUGAAACUGCAGGGCUUGAGUGAUGGAGAGGUAAGUGGAAUUCCCAGUGUAGCGGUGAAAUGCGUAGAUAUUGGGAGGAACACCAGUGGCGAAGGCGACUUACUGGACAUUAACUGACGCUGAGGCACGAAAGCGUGGGUAGCAAACA
rnacentral:rRNA from 1 species